UGAUUACAACGUCAAAAAGUCUUAUCCCGCUUGUGCUUGCACAAUAAAGGGAUAAUGACUUUGAGACGCGCCCACAACAUGCGAAUAUUGAGGGGAAGGAUUGUGGGACUGCGAAGCACGCAACAAUCCGUGUAAUCA
rnacentral:sRNA from 23 species